UCAUGGCUUCUCCUAUAGCGGUCGCCAUGCAUAACGCCAUGUGUACAAUAUUUGCCACAAAACCCUAAUUUUUGGUCUUUUUGCUUCCUUUCUUCUAAAAAGGUCCCGAAAGAGCUAAAUACCUAAAAAGAACAUAAAAGAGAGGGUAAGACCCCAAUUUUGACCCUAAGAUCCCUCAUGGCAUCAUAACAUUGCAUUUGCAUCUUGCCUCAAGGAUCAUAGCAUCUUGGCUCCUUAACCUUUGGGUGGGAACUUUU
rnacentral:lncRNA from 1 species